GAUGCAUGUCAAAGAUAAACCAUGCAAAUAAUAAUUGUAAUAUUAUGUAAAGGCAUUUUAAUAAUUCUUUACAUUAAUUUCUUGCGAGAAGUGAACUUGUUUUUUGGCAAAAAACAAUUUCAUUUGCUCGAAAACUUGCAUGUUUGAUGAAAAAUAUAUAUAUAUAUGUAUAUUGUUUGCGGGUGUUCCUUUUUAAUUCAAAGAAUGGGUUAUGAGUAUGUGCGUCAUUUUUAAAGUCCAAUGUUUUGAAGGAAAUAAAAUGUUUUUUUUCAUGGUUUUAAGCAUUUCAUUUCCUUAAAAAAUUAGGACUUAUCAAAUGAAUAUUAUAACUACAUUGUAAUUGCGAGUGUGUGUCUUUUUCUUCUUCGAAGAAAUGAACUUGUUUUUUAGAUCUAUAACAAUUUCAUUUGCUCGCAAGGAGAAAUUUUUAAAAUAUAUAAAUUAUUAAUAAGUACUUUUCAUUUCUGUUCCAGGUGUUAUAUCUGGUCUGGUGGAAGGGGCAGCAUCAAAUAUAGGAUUUCGAAAGACACUCAAUUGUCUAAUAAACUGAACAGCUUAGCCUAUUUCUCUAUUAUUUCAGAUUGGACUGUUAUCACUUCGUGUAAUAUAAGCGUAAUUAUAAGAAUAUUCUUAUUAUAAAAUUUGUACAAUAUAAGUUAAAUAAAAAUGUUUGUUAUAUAAAUA